rfam:Ovis aries breed Texel chromosome 2, whole genome shotgun sequence.
UCCCUGAUAGCUCUGUUGGUAAAGAAUCUGCCUACAAUGCAGGAGACCUGGGUUUGAUUCCUGGUCAGGGAG